rnacentral:pre_miRNA from 1 species
GUUUGUAUGUGUGUGGAUGGUGUUCAGCACCAGGGACAGGUUUGUAUGUGUGUGGAUGGUGUUCAGCACCAGGGACAGGUUUGUAUGUGU